rnacentral:rRNA from 1 species
AGUGCAUGUGGUGGAUGCCUUGGCAGUCAGAGGCGAUGAAAGACGUGAUAGCCUGCGAAAAGCUCCGGGGAGGCGGCAAAUAUCCUUUGAUCCGGAGAUGUCUGAAUGGGGGAACCCACCUACUUUAAGGUAGGUAUUGCAACAUGAAUACAUAGUGUUGCAAGGCGAACGAGGGGAAGUGAAACAUCUCAGUACCCUUAGGAAAAGAAAUCAAUUGAGAUUCCCUCAGUAGCGGCGAGCGAACGGAUCAGCCCAUUAAGUUAUGUGUGUUUUAGUGGAACGCUCUGGGAAGUGCGAACGUAGAGGGUGAUAUUCCCGUACACGAAAGGGCACACAUAAUGAUGACGAGUAGGGCGAGGCACGUGAAACCUUGUCUGAAUAUGGGGGGACCAUCCUCCAAGGCUAAAUACUCCUGACUGACCGAUAGUGAACCAGUACCGUGAGGGAAAGGCGAAAAGAACCCCUGUGAGGGGAGUGAAAUAGAUCCUGAAACCGCAUGCAUACAAGCAGUGGGAGCACCUUCGUGGUGUGACUGCGUACCUUUUGUAUAAUGGGUCAGCGACUUAUAUUCAGUAGCGAGGUUAACCGUAUAGGGGAGCCGUAGAGAAAUCGAGUCUUAAUAGGGCGUUUAGUUGCUGGGUAUAGACCCGAAACCAGGCGAUCUAUCCAUGAGCAGGUUGAAGGUUGGGUAACACUAACUGGAGGACCGAACCCACUGUCGUUGAAAAGCCAGGGGAUGACUUGUGGAUAGGGGUGAAAGGCUAAUCAAGCCUGGUGAUAGCUGGUUCUCCCCGAAAGCUAUUUAGGUAGCGCCUCGGACGAAUACCAUAGGGGGUAGAGCACUGUUUCGGCUAGGGGGUCAUCCCGACUUACCAAACCGAUGCAAACUCCGAAUACCUAUGAGUACUAUCCGGGAGACAGACUGCGGGUGCUAACGUCCGUAGUCAAGAGGAAAACAAUCCAGACCGCCAGCUAAGGCCCCAAAAUCAUAGUUAAGUGGGAAACGAUGUGGGAAGGCAUAGACAGCUAGGAGGUUGGCUUAGAAGCAGCCACCCUUUAAAGAAAGCGUAAUAGCUCACUAGUCGAGUCGGCCUGCGCGGAAGAUGUAACGGGGCUAAAACUAUGUGCCGAAGCUGCGGAUGUAUACUUUGUAUACGUGGUAGGGGAGCGUUCUGUAAGCCGAUGAAGGUGUGUUGAGAAGCAUGCUGGAGGUAUCAGAAGUGCGAAUGCUGACGUGAGUAACGACAAAACGGGUGAAAAACCCGUUCGCCGAAAGACCAAGGGUUCCAGUCCAACGUUAAUCGGGGCUGGGUGAGUCGACCCCUAAGGCGAGGCCGAAAGGCGUAGUCGAUGGGAAAAUGGUUAAUAUUCCAUUACUUCUGUGUAAUGCGAUGAGAGGACGGAGAAGGCUAAAUCAGCCUGGCGUUGGUUGUCCAGGUGAAAGGAUGUAGGCAUGUAUCUUAGGCAAAUCCGGGGUACUCUAUGCUGAGAUCUGAUAGCAAGCUGUACUUGUACAGCGAAGUGGUUGAUGCCAUGCUUCCAGGAAAAGUCUCUAAGCUUCAGUUACACAGGAAUCGUACCCGAAACCGACACAGGUGGUCAGGUCGAGUAGACCAAGGCGCUUGAGAGAACUCUGCUGAAGGAACUAGGCAAAAUGGUACCGUAACUUCGGGAGAAGGUACGCUGUUGUUGGUGAUGGAACUCGCUUCCUGAGCUGACGACAGCCGCAGAAACCAGGCCGCUGCAACUGUUUAUUAAAAACAUAGCACUCUGCAAACACGAAAGUGGACGUAUAGGGUGUGAUGCCUGCCCGGUGCUGGAAGGUUAAUUGAUGGGGUUAGCGUAAGCGAAGCUCUUGAUCGAAGCCCCAGUAAACGGCGGCCGUAACUAUAACGGUCCUAAGGUAGCGAAAUUCCUUGUCGGGUAAGUUCCGACCUGCACGAAUGGCAUAAUGAUGGCGGCGCUGUCUCCAGCAGAGGCUCAGUGAAAUCGAAAUCGCUGUGAAGAUGCAGUGUACCCGCGGCUAGACGGAAAGACCCCGUGAACCUUUACUGCAGCUUGACACUGAACUUUGACCUUACUUGUGUAGGAUAGGUGGGAGGCUUUGAAGCUGGAACGCUAGUUCCAGUGGAGCCGUCCUUGAAAUACCACCCUGGUAAUGUUGAGGUUCUAACUCUGUCCCGUGAUCCGGGACGAGGACCGUGUCUGGUGGGUAGUUUGACUGGGGCGGUCUCCUCCUAAAGAGUAACGGAGGAGUACGAAGGUGCGCUCAGCGUGGUCGGAAAUCACGCGUAGAGUAUAAAGGCAAAAGCGCGCUUAACUGCGAGACCCACAAGUCGAGCAGGUACGAAAGUAGGUCUUAGUGAUCCGGUGGUUCUGUAUGGAAGGGCCAUCGCUCAACGGAUAAAAGGUACUCUGGGGAUAACAGGCUGAUACCGCCCAAGAGUUCAUAUCGACGGCGGUGUUUGGCACCUCGAUGUCGGCUCAUCUCAUCCUGGGGCUGAAGCAGGUCCCAAGGGUAUGGCUGUUCGCCAUUUAAAGAGGUACGCGAGCUGGGUUUAGAACGUCGUGAGACAGUUCGGUCCCUAUCUACCGUGGGCGCUGGAAAUUUGAGAGGAUCUGCUCCUAGUACGAGAGGACCAGAGUGGACGAACCUCUGGUGUACCGGUUGUGACGCCAGUCGCAUCGCCGGGUAGCUAUGUUCGGAAGGGAUAACCGCUGAAAGCAUCUAAGCGGGAAGCCUACCUCAAGAUAAGAUUUCCCUAGGACUUUAUGUCCUCUAAAGAGCCGUUCGAGACUAGGACGUUGAUAGGUUGGAUGUGGAAGCAUAGUGAUAUGUGAAGCUGACCAAUACUAAUUGCUCGUGAGGCUUGACU